UACGUAGGGUGCAAGCGUUAAUCGGAAUUACUGGGCGUAAAGCGUGCGCAGGCGGUUUUGUAAGUCUGACUGUGAAAUCCCCGGGCUCAACCUGGGAAUUGCGAUUGGAGACUGCAAGGCUAGAAUCUGGCAGAGGGGGGGUAGAAUUCCACGUGUAGCAGUGAAAAUGCGUAGAGAUGUGGAGGAACACCGAUGGCGAAGGCAGCCCCCUGGG
rnacentral:rRNA from 1 species